UUUAGGAAAGGAAGCAGGAUAGAUGGGUGACUGCCAGUGUUGGUGGGGCAGGUGGGCAGCAGUGGGUGCGUGGCGCAGCAGAAACACAGCCUCCAGAGUUUGGGCCCCUUUUCCGAAGCUCACCAGGCUAUCUGCCCAUCUUUUCCUCCCCCUCCCUCUAACUGCCUCCCUCCCCUGGUCCCUAGCACAGCUCCAGGGCACCCCUGGAGCAGCUGGAGAAUCUGGGUUGCGGUCCACCCCCAGGUGGCGCUGUGCUCCCGCACCAGGUUCAAGUGCACUAGAGGAGUGAUGACAUCAUCCAGGACGGAAACAGCAUCCCCACCGCGGGAGCACCGAGGAAGAGGGCAGCUCACUUGUUGCUCAGGACAGUAGGGAGUGGUUUUUCUCUCUGGCUAAAUCAUGUUUGAAGUUUGGUAGAAAGGGCUUCCUAAGGUGACAGGUUCUAUUGGACCCUUAAGAUUUGGAGGCAGGUUGUUUGGGUUCAGGUGAGCGUCCAGUGCUUUCCUGCAGCACCGUCACAGCCUUAUUUCAGUGAGGGAAGGAAGGGGAGCUGUUAAUGAGAAGCAGUUCUAUGGCCUGAAGACCUGGGCUCAAAACAAAACCAACAAACAAAACAGACCUGAGCUCUGACUUUUAUUAGCUGUGUGAUCAUGGAUAUAUUAGUUAACCUCUCUGGGCCAAAUUCUAUCUGCAAAAUAGAAUAUUGGUAUCCACCUCACAGAGUUGAAGGAUCAGCUGAAGCAACCUAAAGCAUCUAGCUAGUGCCCAGUGCCCAGCAGGCACAGGGGGGUGCAGUGGGACUGACAGUGAGGGCUGACAGUGGAAGCUCUAGCUGGCCUUAGCUCCAGCUCAUACCCUUUAGGUCCAGGAGCCAGUGUGUGUCUGUCUCCUCUCCUCUGGGCCCAGUGAUUGCUUAGGUGACUGGGGUGACAGGCAAGUGGGUGGAGGGAAUGGAGAAGAGUGUACCCUGGGAUCUGAGGGCUUUACCCCCAGGACUAGACUGCCCUCUGGUUUUGGUCAGACCUAGCACAGCGAUCUUGCUUCCUAGCUGGGGCACCCCACCCUCACCUCAAAGAUGGUGAAACUGCUGUGCCUCCUGCUGUUGAGGCAACCUGGAGGCAGAGAAACCUACAAGUGACACAGACCCAAGGUGGCAGUUCCACAGUGCCAAGGGGUGGCAGCACCUUCAAGAGAAUGAAAUUCAGAAAGAUGCCUUUCACCUACACCCGAUGGUGGGCAUGGCAGCAUUGUCAGCAUUCCUGCAGUUGGGGCAGGAAGUGGAAUUGGUGAGCAGGUGGGGAGGGCUGGGGAAGAUGAGGCCCCUCUGAGCCCUAGGGCACACAGAUAUGGGUGCUAUUCUCCAAAUAGUCACUCCACUUCUCUGCCUGCCGCCUUCCUGGGCCUGUGACUGCUGUGAGGACCUGGCCCUGAGCCCAUGGUUAGGCAGAGUCAUGGAAUGAGCAUCCCUGAACAUGCCUAAUAUAGCCAUCCCAGCACCCUGGGCUCCACUCUGCCCCAGCACCCCUGAGAACAACUCUGGCUACUGACUCCAGGCAGCAGGACUGGUUCAGGAGCAGACCUAGUAGAGGCCUGGCCUUCUAGACCUGGACAACCAGGUCAGUGGAGAGUCUUCUGCUUAGAGUUCAGAUUUUCCUCCAUGCUGCACUUUCUGAGGAUGUGAAUUUAUUUCUUGGCCAACUCAAAUAGUGUGGCAGGGAACCUGAGCUUCUAGAGUCCUCCAGGGAGCCCAGGGUUAGGAUCAGGACUCACAGUUCAGGACAACAGGUGGGGCACAGCCAUUCACAGCUAAAGGUUUGUAUAUAUUAUCAAAAUCUUAUGGAAAAACAGAUACACAGCUAUUCAUACAGCAGCAGGUGGGUGUGAGGAAAAUGUCUGCUUUGGCAUCAAACCUUCAAGUCCAGCUGCUGUCUGUCCCACUCCUCCUGUCUGGAGCCUACUCCCAUCAGGCACUGUGCAUCCAGGCCACUGCCCCUGCCACAUCCUCUAAUUAGCCUGGACUUUGGGGUAUCCUCAGCCCCUCCCCACGCUCCCCUUUGGGCCCCCAUGCCUCUCCAUCUUUCUGCCAUUUUCCCACACAGAGUGCCACUGGCCCAGCAGCUUUGCCCCGUGGGCUCCUCAGAGGCCUGAAUCCUGGCCCUGGAGGGCAGUGGGGCUGGGGUGGAUGUGGUCCCUGUGGGACAUCUUUCCUGGAUCACAGGCCUUUUGCAGCUUGCCAGCUACAUGGGCCCUGGACAGUGCCAUCUUCUCAGUGAUGUGCUAAAAGGACUCUUCUUGUCCAGAAACCUGAGCUCCAUGUACUAAAGCAAAAUUUGGAGAGCCUCAGAGACAAGAAAAGGAAAGUGAGAAGAGAUAAGGCAUCCUUCCUUGAGCGUGACCCAGGCCUGGACUCUCCCAUGGCAGAAUAGGGACAUCCACAGCAGGUCAGCCAGGGAUGGGGUGGGCAGGGUCUGUGUAGCCCUGGGAGGUGAGGCCUGAGCAGUCAUGGCAUUGGCAGAUGGUGCCUGGCAGCCUGGUCCUACUGAAGCAGUUUGGGCACUUCCACCUGUAGGGGCAAAGUAGAGACAGGUUAGAGAAGGGAGCUCAGCCACCUCACCUCCCUCCCUACUGGAAGGACACACAAGACACUGCAAUAUGUUAUGUCUGUGGAAUGUGAAUGAGGUGUUGACACUGAGGGAGCAUUUUUCAUUGUCUGUAAAAAUUGGAUGUCAUUGAGUGACCACUGGAAUUACAAUUGAGAUUUUCCUUUAUCUCAUGAUACCUUGUCCCAGAUGAUGUUGUGGGGGUUGGGUAUCCAACCAAAUGGACAAACGAUCGUGGACUUUGUCACCCAGGCCAGACUUCCAGGGGAGGCAGGGCUUGGAGAAGUAGGGUGUCCAGGGAUGGCUCCUGUGUCCAUGGCACUGGCUAGGCAAAGGUAGACUCUCCUGAGAGGUGAAUCUCCCAGAGACCUUUCGGAUGGACUGACCUGUAGGACUUGGCUGGUCCUGAGAGGAGGCUAAGUAAAACGUGGAUCAUUUUUGUUUGGGGAAAUGGAGAAGACUUAAAGGAAGGACCCGAGGCAAAACUACUCUGUAGAGGCCAUUUCUCCAUUUUAAGGAGAAACAGGCUUCAUUGCAGAAUGAAAGAGAAGCAUGGAGUGAGGUAUUAAAGGAAGCUCCUUAAAGGAAGGGUAGAGUCUCAGCUCUAGGGGAUAUACAGGUGUGACCUGCCUGCAGGCAGGAGGAUGCAUGAGAUGACCUGAAGUCCCCUAUGGGCCCUGGGAGUCUAUAUCAUCUGCAGCCGACAUAAGCUCCUCUGCAUGCCUUCCCUUUUGCAGUCCUACCCUCUCCUCCAGGCCCUACCCAGCCCCGCCCUGUUGGCUCAUGCCCACAACUACUUAACUUCUUGAGCUGCUUGAGGUUGCUGGAGCGGAUGGCAGCCAAUAGCUGGUCACGGGAGUUCUUCUCCUGGGCAGGGAGGACUUUGUCUCCCAUCUUCCUCUGGGUAGCUGGUGAGAGUGAAUUCUUCAGGUUCUCCAUGAUAAGGGGUGGAGCCAAGGGAGGGGGAGGGGGUGGUGGGGCAGCUGGAGCACCCCCUUUUUUGGGUGAGUUCUUUGGAGAGGGCUUUGGAGAUGGUUGAGGUGAAGGUUUUGGGGAGCCCUUAGCCACGGCCCCGGCCUUGGGUACCUCCAGCAGAUCCUUCUUCUCUCCCUUGGCUUCCUGUGCCUGCCUUUGCUCCUGCAGCCGCUUUUGUCUCUGCUUGUCCAUGUUGCGGCUGAGCAGAUUGGUGACAGUCAUUCGGGGCCCGGCCAGCUCAAAAUGGUAGCCCAGCUUGAGCAGGGUAGUAUUCUCCUUCAGCAGCUUGGCGAUCUCCAUCUCCGUCUUGCCUCCACAGAUGUGUCGCUGGUUGUGGAAGCGGAGCUCGGUCAGCGUGUUGUUCUGGAGGAGGGCCCGGAAGAUGGCCAGGAUGCCUUUGCCUGUGAUGUGGUUGGAGUCCAGGUUGAGGCUGGUGAUGGUCUUGUUGGCCUUGAGCAUGAUGGCAAUGGCAAAGGCCACGUGGUCAUCGGCUCGCGUGUUGGCCAAGGCGAACAGCUUAACCACAGUGUUGAACUCCAGAGCCUCAGUAAACCGGACCAAGAUCUC
rnacentral:lncRNA from 1 species